rnacentral:rRNA from 1 species
UACAGAGGUCUCAAGCGUUGUUCGGAUUCAUUGGGCGUAAAGGGUGCGUAGGCGGCGCGGUAAGUCGGGUGUGAAAUCUCGGAGCUUAACUCCGAAACUGCAUUCGAUACUGCGGGUCUUGAGGGAUGCAGAGGAGACUGGAAUUCCCGGUGUAGCGGUGAAAUGUGUAGAGAUCGGGAGGAACACCGGUGGCGAAGGCGGGUCUCUGGGCAUCUCCUGACGCUGAGGCGCGAAAGCGUGGGGAGCAAACGGG